rnacentral:lncRNA from 1 species
ACACUCCUCUUCACAUUCCCGACUUACACGCAGAGGGAAAGAGAAUUCAUAAAGGGAAUAUUUUUCUGCCUUUGAAGAUAUUCUCACAAGAUCGUUCUCCACGCCCAAGGCAAGUAAAACGACACAAUCUGGCUCAACUCCAGGCUCGAACCCUACACAUUCAACGAGGCUAUCUCAGACACGCUGUGGCACACGCCACGGGGAGCCAGAGAACGUGUGGUGGGGGUGGCGAAGGUAAUGCCUUUGGGAAGCAGCCAUCUGAGGUGGGAAGCCAGAAAACGAGAGGGAAGGCGUCCAGGAAGAUUACGGAGGGGAGAUCGCGGCCCCCAGAGCGAUCAGAGUUGUCUGUCACAAGGCCGCGAGAACGGGGGUAGGGAGUGGGGGAUCGGGGAGAGAAAAAAAGUAUGCCUGUGUAUUUCGAGCGGAGGGCAGCAAGAGGCCUCUCCUCAAGGGAAAGGUGUGGAAACAGGAAGAGAACUAGAACUGGAAGUAAAGCAUUGAAGAUGUGACUGAAUUGCUGCAAUCUCAUGAUCAAAUUUGAAUGGAUGAGGAGUUGCUUUUUAGGGAUGAGCAAAGAAAGUGGUUUCUCGAGAUGGAAUCUACUGGUGAAGUUGCUGUGAACAUUGUUAAAAUGCCAAUAAAGGAUUUAGGAAUUA